GUCCAACGUCAUCCUGGAUAGCUCAGUUGGUUAGAGCACGGUGCUGAUAACGGCAAGGUUGCAGGUUCGAUCCCCAUAUGGGACA
rnacentral:tRNA from 1 species